GCCGGCAGCUAGCUCUCUGCAACUCUCACAUGGUCGCCCACUGAAGCUAAGCAGGACUGAGCCCGGUCAGUACCUGGAUGGGAGACCACAUGGAGAAUCUAGGUUGCUGCUGGAA
rnacentral:rRNA from 1 species